AACCAAGCCACCCAGCCCACCAAACCAAGCCACCCAGCCCACCAAACCAAGCCACCCAGCCCACUAAACCAAGCCACCCAGCCCACUAAACCAAGCCACCCAGCCCACUAAACUAAGCCACCCAACCCACCAAACCAAGCCACCCAGCCCACCAAACCAAGCCACCCAGCCCACUAAACCAAGCCACCCAGCCCACUAAACCAAGCCACCCAGCCCACCAAACCAAGCCACCCAGCCCACUAAACCAAGCCACCCAGCCCACCAAACCAAGCCUCCCAGCAAGCUACACACCAAGCGUCUCGUCUCUCCCUAGCUGUUCUAUCCUGUCCUACAGCUCAUAUAGAGACAAUGUAUUAUAACUGUACAUUACAUAUAGCCUCUAAUAUAUAAAUAUAUAUAUAUAUAUGUAUACCCUGUCAGUAGCUGCCCUCCACUCUACUGUCAGUAGCUGCCCUCCACUCUACUGUCAGUAGCUGCCCUCCACUCUACUGUCAGUAGCUGCCCUCCACUCUACUGUCAGUAGCUGCCCUCCACUCUACUGUCAGUAGCUGCCCUCCACUCUACUGUCAGUAGCUGCCCUCCACUCUACUGUCUGAGCCAGUGGUGUAGUGGAGGGUCAACACAUGUAGACGCCGGUCACCUUUUCUUUACUAUCGGGGGGAAAUGAAUUGAAAUAUAGGGAUUGAAUGUUACCUUUUUCACUGGAAUGGUGUGGACUGGGUUACGAUUCAGUAGAAUUGGGUUCAACUCUGGUUUCAACUGGACUGGGUUACGAUUCAGUAGGAUUGGGUUCAACUCUGGUUUCAACUGGACUGGGGUUACGAUUCAGUAGGAUUUGGUUCAACUCUGGUUUCAACUGGACCCGGUUACGAUUCAGUAGGAUUGGGAUCAAAUCUGGGUUCAACUGGACCGGGGUGAGAUUCAGUAGGAUUGGGAUCAACUCUGGUUUCAACUGGACUGGGUUACGAUUCAGUAGGAUUGGGAUCAACUCUGGUUUCAACUGGACCGGGGUUACGAUUCAGUAGGAUUGGGAUCAACUCUGGUUUCAACUGGACCGGGGUUAUGAUUCAGUAGGCUUGGGGUCAACUCUGUUUUCAACUGGACCGGGGUGAGAUUCAGUAAGAUUGGGAUCAACUCUGGGUUCAACUGGACCGGGGUGAGAUUCAGUAAGAUUGGGAUCAACUCUGGUUUCAACUGGACCGGGGUUACGAUUCAGUAGGAUUGGGAUCAACUCUGGUUUCAACUGGACCGGGGUUAUGAUUCAGUAGGCUUGGGGUCAACUCUGUUUUCAACUGGACCGGGGUGAGAUUCAGUAAGAUUGGGAUCAACUCUGGGUUCAACUGGACCGGGGUGAGAUUCAGUAAGAUUGGGAUCAACUCUGGUUUCAACUGGACCGGGGUUACGUUUCAGUAGGAUUGGGUUCAACUCUGGUUUCAACUGGACCGGGGUUAUGAUUCAGUAGGCUUGGGGUCAACUCUGGUUUCAACUGGACCGGGGUUAUGAUUCAGUAGGCUUGGGGUCAACCCUGUUUUCAGUUCAGACAAUUUGAAAUGCUACUUGUCAAUAGUCAGAAUCCACAUAGAAAAAUAAUUUGUUAUUUCAAUACAAUCAUUGAAAUCCUGAGUUGAGGUCAGCACUCACACUUUCACACAAAUCUUCCAUUGACAUCAACAUAUGAUCUACACAGAAGUCUACUUUUAAGUGUGCACAGAGAUCUCAAGGACUAGGAUUCCUCCCAGACUGACUUUGGGUUCACUUUGGGUCCGAUUCAGACUUGAGAUAAGUAGACUUACAGUAAAUCAUUUGUUUUUGUUUUACUGAAGUCCACAUUUAGUAAUAAACUCAAGUCUGAAUUGUGCCCUUCCUGACCUAAUUUUGAUCUGAAAUGGGGUUUGACCCGAAACCCUGCUGUCUGUCUGUCCCCCUUCAGGGCUGUCUGUCAUUCUGCUGCUCACGUAGACAACCAGACAGUCUGGUUUUAAUCCAGAUGUUUAACAUAGCUGACAUUAGUUUUGUGUGUCUGCCUGUUUGUAUUAAGAUUAAAAAAUAUAACAUGGUGGAAGUUGCUCUCUCUGUGAGAUUCCCCCAAUAACACAAAUAUAUUAGUGUGUGUGUGUCUAGUCAAAUGUAGUGCACUAUAUAGGGAAUAGGGUGCUAUUUGGGACUCAGCCGAGGUGUAGUUAAGACCGUUUCUAGAUAAUGUUUUAAAGAGGAGUACUGUGUUGUUUAGGGUUACAGAAUUCCUCUAUCUUUCCCAACACUCCCAAAGUUUUCCAGAAAUCCCGGUUGGACGAUUCCUGGAAUGGCGAUCGGAUAAGCAGGAAAUACGGGAAUCGUCCAACUAGGAUUUGUUAACCUCCUCAAAGUUCCAUGGUAUUUAACAGAGUUUUUGCAACGCUACUAGGUGUCUAGAUAACAUCUUUAAACAGGAGGGUGUAUUGAGGUAAUACUGUAGUGUUGAUGGCACCAGUUAACUGACCAGUCUGAUUUUAGGAAGAAACAACUCACUCUGGACACAGAUCCAGUUACCUGACCAGUCUGAUUUUAGGAAGAAACGACUCACUCUGGACACAGAUCCAGUUAACUGACCAGUCUGAUUUUAGGAAGAAACGACUCACUCUGGACACAGAUCCAGUUAACUGACCAGUCUGAUUUUAGAAGAAACGACUCAGUCUGGACACAGAUUCAGUUAACUGACCAUCCAGUUAACUGACCAGUCUGAUUUUAGGAAGAAACGACUCACUCUGGACACUGAUCCUAAAUUGAGAUGUAUUCUCAUCAAUAGCAGCAUUAGAGCCACAUUUUUAUAGUGCAAAAGCAAUGUGCCAAAAUGUACGGUUAAACUUGUUAUAAUCUGGAGGUUGGAUUUCAUUUAACACUUUUCUUCAAUGUGUGUUUAUAAAGAGACGUUUGUUAUGGCAUCGCUCCGUUUACUGAACUCUAGUGAGGCAAUCGCCUCUUUUAUAACGCGUAUUGUUGAAGAAAAGUUUUCAAAUUAAAUCUCACUGUGAGAUUAUGAGGUUUACUGUCAUUUUUUUUCGCGCUAUGAAAAUAGGAACCGUUCGUCAGGAUCUGGGAACCUUCCCCUGUUGAUGAAAUGGAACAGAGUGGGUCUCGUCGAAACUGUCUGAAUCCCGAACGGCACCCAGUUUAUGGUCUGGGAACCUUCCCCUGUUGAUGUUGAUGAAAUGGAAACAGAGUGGGUCUCGUAGAAACUGUCUGAAUCCCGAACGGCACCCAGUUCCCGAAUUAGUCCACUACUUUUGACCACAAACCUAUUUUUUAUUUUACCUUUAUUUUACUAGGCAAGUCAGUUAAGAACAAAUUCUUAUUUUCAAUGAUGGCCUGGGAACAGUGGGUUAACUGCCUGUUCAGGGGCAGAACGACAGAUUUGUACCUUGUCAGCUCAGGGAUUUGAACUUGCAACCUUCCGGUUACUAGUCCAACGCUCUAACCACUAGGCUACCCUGCCGCCCCUGUAGAGCUCUGGUCAACAAGUAAUGCGCUUAUAUAGGGAAUAGGGUGCCAUUUUGGAUUGAGACACUAUUGUUCAACUGAAAAUAUAAUUUGAUCAGGAGGUGUUUUAAAUGUUUUUAUUUUUGAUUGUGUCCGACAGCCUUUAUCCAAAACGGGGAUGUGCACGCAGGUCACGUUUGUGUCUUAAAGAGUGUGAGUUUGUCCCAAAUGACACCCUACUCCCUAUGUAGUGCACUACUACAGUAACCACAGAGGGUUUAGCCAAUCAGAGCUCUGGUUAAAAGUAGUGCACUACUACAGUAACCACAGAGGGUUUAGCCAAUCAGAGCUCUGGUUAAAAGUAGUGCACUACUACAGUAACCACAGAGGGUUUAGCCAAUCAGAGCUCUGGUUAAAAGUAGUGCACUACUACAGUAACCACAGAGGGUUUAGCCAAUCAGAGCUCUGGUUAAAAGUUGUGCACUACUACAGUAACCACAGAGGGUUUAGCCAAUCAGAGCUCUGGUUAAAAGUAGUGCACUACUACAGUAACCACAGAGGGUUUAGCCAAUCAGAGCUCUGGUUAAAAGUAGUGCACUACUACAGUAACCACAGAGGGUUUAGCCAAUCAGAGCUCUGGUUAAAAGUAGUGCACUACUACAGUAACCACAGAGGGUUUAGCCAAUCAGAGCUCUGGUUAAAAGUAGUGCACUACUACAGUAACCACAGAGGGUUUAGCCAAUCAGAGCUCUGGUUAAAAGUAGUGCACUACUACAGUAACCACAGAGGGUUUAGCCAAUCAGAGCUCUGGUUAAAAGUUGUGCACUACUACAGUAACCACAGAGGGUUAGCCAAUCAGAGCUCUGGUUAAAAGUAGAGCACUAUAUAGGGAAUAGUGCUCCAUUUGGGCAGUAGUUAAUCUGGUUGUAGGUAGUGUACUAUAUAGGGAACAGGGCUCCAUUUGGGCAGUAGUUCAUCUGGUUGUAGGUAGUGUACUAUAUAGGGAACAGGGCUCCAUUUGGGGAGUAGUUCAUCUGGUUGUAGGUAGUGUACUAUAUAGGGAACAGGGCUCCAUUUGGGGAGUAGUUCAUCUGGUUGUAGGUAGUGUACUAUAUAGGGAACAGGGCUCCAUUUGGGGAGUAGUUCAUCUGGUUGUAGGUAGUGUACUAUAUAGGGAACAGGGCUCCAUUUGGGGAGUAGUUCAUCUGGUUGUAGGUAGUGUACUAUAUAGGGAACAGGGCUCCAUUUGGGGAGUAGUUCAUCUGGUUGUAGGUAGUGUACUAUAUAGGGAACAGGGCUCCAUUUGGGGAGUAGUUCAUCUGGUUGUAGGUAGUGUACUAUAUAGGGAACAGGGCUCCAUUUGGGGAGUAGUUCAUCUGGUUGUAGGUAGUGUACUAUAUAGGGAACAGGGCUCCAUUUGGGGAGUAGUUCAUCUGGUUGUAGGUAGUGUAAAUACAAAAUAUAUAAUGUCCUUUUUUUCCCACAGCAGAAGAAUGGAUGUUUUUUAAAACCUUUUCUAUUUAAUAUAUAUUUAAAAUGUUGUGCUUAUUUCUUUCUGUUGAUUUGUUGUCUUCUAUGUGGACAGGGACAGGAAAGAGACCUUUUCAUUUGGUUUGUUAAAUACGUCUUUUCACAACGUUGUCUUGCCUCAAUAAGUUUUUUUUUUUUCAAUAAGGGACAACCUUUGUAUCGGUGAAGCUGAUUUGACUAGAACUUCAAAUAGAUCCUUUUCUCCGUUGUGAAUGAGAAACCACUUCUUCAAGUUCACCUGCAGCCUUGAUUCCAAUGCACCUUUUAUACAGAGCAACGUGUAACAGUUCAGAUGGGGACGACUGGACAUGAUGACGCAGAAAACACAUUACAUGUGUCCAGUAGCAAAUUAAUGUUUUUAUUCUGUGUUUAAAGAAAUAAAUCGAUUUUCUAUCCUGUUAGAGGUUACCGGGGUCGGAGGUCAAUCACUUUUCUAUCAUGUUAGAGGUUACCGGGGUCGGGGGUCAAAAUCACUCCUAUCAUGUUAUAGGUUACCAGGGUCCGGGGUCAAAAUCACUCCUAUCAUGUUAUAGGUUACCAGGGUCGGGGGUCAAAAUCACUCCUAUCAUGUUAUAGGUUACCGGGGUCGGGGGUCAAAAUCACUUUUCAAAUUCCAGUCAAAUGAGAAUGUUCACUGACAUUCCAGUUCCAACUGUCAUCAAUGCCUUUCAAUAAAGAACAUUUGGAAUUCGGUUUACUUAGUGAAUUGAAAUGGAGCUCCACCCUGAUCGCUAUAUUACUGUGUAUACUGAUAGGUGUAUUACGUACGCUGGACAACCCUUUUCCCCAACCAAUGGUAGAACUGUUGUGGCGCCCUCUGCUGUUUAAUGGAAGUAGUGCAGUCUAAUGUUCCCCCCUUCAUAUCUUCACACACCUGGGUCGUGUUCAUUAGUAGCACACCUUAGCUGG